rnacentral:rRNA from 1 species
GUAGUCAUAUGCUUGUCUCAAAGUUUAAGCCAUGCAUGUCUAAGUAUAAGCAAUUAUACCGUGAAACUGCGAAUGGCUCAUUAAAUCAGUUAUCGUUUAUUUGAUAGUACCUUACUACUUGGAUAACCGUGGUAAUUCUAGAGCUAAUAUAUGCUGAAAACCCCAACUUCGGGAGGGGUGUAUUUAUUAGAUAAAAAACCAAUGCCCUUCGGGGCUUCUUGGUGACUCAUGAUAACUUUACGGAUCGCAUGGCCUUGCGCCGGCGACGGUUCAUUCAAAUUUCUGCCCUAUCAACUUUCGAUGGUAAGGUAUUGGCUUACCAUGGUUUCAACGGGUAACGGGGAAU